rnacentral:SRP_RNA from 1 species
GCCAGGCAUGGUGGCGCAUGCCUGUAAUCCCAGCUACUUGGGAGGCUGAGGCAGGAGAAUCGCUUGAACCUGGGAGGCAGAAGUUGCAGUGAGCGGAGAUCGUGCCACUGCACUCAAGCCUGGGUGACAGAACGAGACUCUGUCUCAA